GUGGGGAAUAUUGGGCAAUGGGCGAAAGCCUGACCCAGCAACGCCGCGUGAAGGAAGAAGGUUUUCGGAUCGUAAACUUCUAUCCUUGGUGAAGAUAAUGACGGUAGCCAAGAAGGAAGCCCCGGCUAACUACGUGCCAGCAGCCGCGGUAAUACGUAGGGGGCAAGCGUUGUCCGGAAUGAUUGGGCGUAAAUGGCGCGUAGGCGGCCCGGUAAGUCUGAAGUGAAAGUCCUGCUUUUAAGGUGGGAAUUGCUUUGGAUACUGUCGGGCUUGAGUGCAGGAGAGGUAAGCGGAAUUCCCGGUGUAGCGGUGAAAUGCGUAGAGAUCGGGAGGAACACCAGUGGCGAAGGCGGCUUACUGGACUGUAACUGACGCUGAGGCGCGAAAGUGUGGGGAGCAAACAGGAUUAGAAACCCGGGUAGUCC
rnacentral:rRNA from 1 species